GAUGAACGCUGGCGGCGUGCCUAAUACAUGCAAGUCGAGCGAACAGACGAGAAGCUUGCUCCUCUGACGUUAGCGGCGGACGGGUGAGUAACACGUGGAUAACCUACCUAUAAGACUGGGAUAACUUCGGGAAACCGGAGCUAAUACCGGAUAAUAUAUUGAACCGCAUGGUUCAAUAGUGAAAGACGGUUUUGCUGUCACUUAUAGAUGGAUCCGCGCCGCAUUAGCUAGUUGGUAAGGUAACGGCUUACCAAGGCAACGAUGCGUAGCCGACCUGAGAGGGUGAUCGGCCACACUGGAGCUGAGACACGGUCCAGACUCCUACGGGAGGCAGCAGUAGGGAAUCUUCCGCAAUGGGCGAAAGCCUGACGGAGCAACGCCGCGUGAGUGAUGAAGGUCUUCGGAUCGUAAAACUCUGUUAUUAGGGAAGAACAAAUGUGUAAGUAACGAUGCACGUCUGGACGGUACCUAAGCAGAAAGCCACGGCUAACUACGG
rnacentral:rRNA from 1 species